UACAGAGGUCUCAAGCGUUGUUCGGAUUCAUUGGGCGUAAAGGGUGCGUAGGUGGCGCUGUAAGUCGGGUGUGAAAUUUCGGAGCUUAACUCCGAAACUGCAUUCGAUACUGCGGUGCUUGAGGACUGGAGAGGAGACUGGAAUUCAUGGUGUAGCAGUGAAAUGCGCAGAUAUCAGGAAGAACACCCGUGGCGAAGGCGGUUCUCUGGGACGGUACUGACGCUGAGACGCGAAAGCGUGGGGGAGCGAACAGG
rnacentral:rRNA from 1 species